rnacentral:tRNA from 1 species
UGGAAUAUAGCCAAGUGGUAAGGCAAGAGGCUUUGAACCUCUAAUCGCAGGUUCGAGCCCUGCUAUUCCAU